rnacentral:rRNA from 1 species
UACGUAGGUGGCAAGCGUUGUCCGGAUUUACUGGGCGUAAAGAGCGCGCAGGCGGUCGUUCAAGUCGCGUGUGAAAGCCCCCGGCUCAACUGGGGAGGGUCACGCGAUACUGAUCGACUCGAAGGCAGGAGAGGGAAGUGGAAUUCCCGGUGUAGUGGUGAAAUGCGCAGAUAUCGGGAGGAACACCAAUGGCGAAGGCAGCUCGCUGGGACGGUACUGACGCUGAGACGCGAAAGCGUGGGGAGCAAACAGG